UGGAGCCACUGAUGUGUUCAGAUUAAGCCCUUUUGUGUUCUUCAGGGAUGUUGUAUCCUCCUUCACUUCCAACAAAUGCUGUUUUGCCAGGGUCGCUCACUGCUGGGCUUCUGUUUCAGGAUGUCAAAGCAAGGAGGCUAAAAAGCAACUGCACAAGUGAGCCUUAGAGCUCUGGAAGAUUCUUCUGCCAUGGAAACAUCAUGCACCUCCCCGCUGUUCUUCCUAUUUGCAGCAGCCCCACAGAAAUCUGAGGUAACACAACAGUAAUUAUGAAGGAAGAAAGGAUGAGAAGGUACCAUAUGUUCGUACCAUACCAGUGUGGGAAGGAAAAUGACCUUCCCUAUGUCCUUCAAGGCAAUCCACAACAGUUUUACUUGUAUCUUUAAUGUUUCAUUCAACAUAGUGUAAGACCAUGAAUAAUGAAGUUUACACUGUACAAGGAGGGCAGCUAUUGAUUUACACAUGAGUGUCCUCAAACCUACUCACAGAAGAGGAAGGAGUUAAUGGCUGUAACUGACUGUAUGAACUCUCCAGCCUCUCCCAGGAGUUCCCCAUAAGCAGAUGAUUUUUUCUCUCUCCUUGCCCACAUUAAAGGAAAUGGCAAUAAGAAAACAAGGUACUUCCAUGGUUGAUGUUGUUUUGUCAUACUGCCCCUCUGCAGCCAUCUGUUGCACGGCAAUAACAUGUAAUGGAAUAUUGGCGGAAGAGUUCACUCUCUACUGUCAUACCACGGACAUUCGCCUCUGAUGUUGUGGGCUAAACUAACAAAAUAGGAGGUACUACUUUCGGAGCAGCCUUGCGGAUGGGCAAAAUAAUGAAACUAUGACCUGCGAAUGGAGUGAAGCUUACUUUUGUGCAGCUCUGCCUUCAGCUGGAUGAAAUUCAACUGUUGGUUACCCUUUAGACAGAAAAAGUUUUCCACUGCUUGGAUUCUUCAUUGGUAUGCUGCUGAUUUGUAUCGAGUUUAGGUGAUGUUAAAAAGAUCACCUCAUUAUCACUGGGAAUUUUUCACCAGUGUAACAUUUUCUUUUGGUAGUGAGCUAUAAAAUCAUCAGGCUAUGGCCUGUUCUUUUUAUUCUGCUUUAACUAUUUGGUUUUAAAAAAGGGACUUUUAUCCCUUUUCUCAUAGAAUGAUAAUCUAAUGGUAAUUUACAGGUGAUGGACAUAUUAAAAAUGCAAAUGAUCCUUCUACUAUUAUGAAACUUUAAUUUUCUUGUGAAAGUGACAGAUGUCCUGGCUACUUAAAGCCUUCCAAGGACUGCAGAUAGGUUCCAAGAAUAAGGAUCCUAAUUAAAAGUCAGUGUGAUGAUGAAACUAAUUCUCUACAUUCAUCCCAUGUUUCAUGUAGGAAAUUUAGCUCUCAUUCGCUGCCAAAAAUUGUUGUAUAUUGUGGGUAAAAUUAAUGAUCUUCUGUUCUUCUGCAAUAAAAUGUGGCUAUGUGAGACAAUACCUCUAGAGUGGUUUUUAUUUUAUGUUUGAAAAUGUAGCAAGACUGUGUA